GUUGGCGUGGUGUAAUGAGCAUAAGAAACUUUCGCUUUCUGGGAGUAGAGACAACUCUACCGCCAACU
rnacentral:tRNA from 1 species